rnacentral:rRNA from 2 species
GGUUAAGUUAACAAGGGCGCAUGGUGAAUGCCUUGGUACUAGGAGCCGAUGAAGGACGGGACUAACACCGAUAUGCUUCGGGGAGCUGUACGUAAGCUAUGAUCCGGAGAUUUCCGAAUGGGGCAACCCAGCAGUUUUAAUCAACUGUUACCACUAGAUGAAUUCAUAGUCUAGUUGGAGGUAAACGCUGUGAACUGAAACAUCUCAUUAGCAGCAGGAAUAUAAAGAAAUUUCGAUUCCCUAAGUAGCGGCGAGCGAACGGGGAACAGCCCAAACCAAAGUGCUUGCACUUUGGGGUUGUAGGACUGAACAUUUGAGUUACCAAAGAACUUGAUAGUCGAAGGAUUUGGGAAAAUCCGCCAUAGAUGGUGAUAGCCCAGUAGAUUAAAUCAAAUUCUCUCAGUUCAGGAUCCUGAGUACGGCGGAACACGUGAAAUUCCGUCGGAAUCCGGGAGGACCAUCUCCCAAGGCUAAAUACUACCUAGUGACCGAUAGUGAACCAGUACCGUGAGGGAAAGGUGAAAAGCACCCCGGGAGGGGAGUGAAAUAGUUCCUGAAACCAUGUGCCUACAAUAAGUCAGAGCGCGUUAAUGCGUGAUGGCGUGCCUUUUGUAGAAUGAACCGGCGAGUUAUGAUCCCGUGCAAGGUUAAGACUAAAAAGUCGGAGCCGUAGCGAAAGCGAGUCUGAAAUGGGCGUUUUGAGUACGAGGUUAUAGACCCGAAACCAGGUGACCUAUCCAUGUCCAGGUUGAAGGUGCGGUAAAACGCACUGGAGGACCGAACCCGUGUAAGUUGAAAAUUGCUGGGAUGAGGUGUGGAUAGCGGUGAAAUUCCAAACGAACUUGGAGAUAGCUGGUUCUCUCCGAAAUAGCUUUAGGGCUAGCCUCGGAAUUAGGAUCAUGGAGGUAGAGCACUAUUUGGACUAGGGGCCCGUCUUGGGUUACUGAAUUCAGAUAAACUCCGAAUGCCAUUGAUUCAUAUCCGGGAGUCAGACGAUGAGUGAUAAGAUCCACCGUCGAAAGGGGAACAGCCCAGACCAUCAGUUAAGGUCCCUAAAUGUAUGCUAAGUGGAAAAGGAUGUGGAGUUGCAUAGACAACUAGGAUGUUGGCUCAGAAGCAGCCACCAUUUAAAGAGUGCGUAAUAGCUCACUAGUCGAGUGAUCCUGCGCCGAAAAUGUACCGGGGCUAAGCAUACUACCGAAACCAUGGAUGCGACCAUUAGGUCGCGUGAUAGGAGAGCGUUCUAAGGGCGGUGAAGCAAGAUCGUGAGGACUUGUGGAGCGCUUAGAAGUGAGAAUGCCGGUAUGAGUAGCGAAAGAUAGGUGAGAAUCCUAUCCACCGAAUGACUAAGGUUUCCUGGGGAAGGCUCGUCCUCCCAGGGUUAGUCGGGACCUAAGUCGAGGCCGAGAGGCGUAGACGAUGGAUAACAGGUUGAGAUUCCUGUACUAGUUAAGUGCGUUUGAGCAAUGGAGGGACGCAGGAGGCUAAGAUGUGCAUUCUGUUGGAUUAGAAUGUCCAAGCAGUAAGUCUUGUGAAGAGUCAAAUGCUUUUCACUUUAAGGACAAGCUGUGAUGGGGAGCGAAAUUUAGUAGCGAAGCGUCUGAUGUCACACUGCCGAGAAAAGCUUCUAGUGAGUACUUAACUACCCGUACCGCAAACCGACACAGGUAGUCGAGGAGAGAAUCCUAAGGUGAGCGAGUGAACUCUCGUUAAGGAACUCGGCAAAAUGACCCCGUAACUUCGGGAGAAGGGGUGCUGAUCGCAAGAUCAGCCGCAGUGAAUAGGCCCAGGCGACUGUUUAUCAAAAACACAGGUCUCUGCAAAAUCGUAAGAUGACGUAUAGGGGCUGACGCCUGCCCGGUGCUGGAAGGUUAAAAGGAUGGGUUAGCUUCGGCGAAGCUCAGAAUUGAAGCCCCAGUAAACGGCGGCCGUAACUAUAACGGUCCUAAGGUAGCGAAAUUCCUUGUCGGGUAAGUUCCGACCCGCACGAAAGGCGUAACGAUCUGGGCACUGUCUCAACGAGAGACUCGGUGAAAUUAUAUUGUCCGUGAAGAUGCGGACUACCCGCGACAGGACGGAAAGACCCCAUGGAGCUUUACUGUAGCUUGAUAUUGAGUGUUUGUACAGCUUGUACAGGAUAGGUAGGAGCCAUAGAAACCGGAACGCUAGUUUCGGUGGAGGCGUUGGUGGGAUACUACCCUCGCUGUAUGACCACUCUAACCCGCACCACUAAUCGUGGUGGGAGACAGUGUCAGGUGGGCAGUUUGACUGGGGCGGUCGCCUCCUAAAAAGUAACGGAGGCGCCCAAAGGUUCCCUCAGAAUGGUUGGAAAUCAUUCGCAGAGUGUAAAGGCACAAGGGAGCUUGACUGCGAGACAGACAGGUCGAGCAGGGACGAAAGUCGGGCUUAGUGAUCCGGUGGUACCGUAUGGAAGGGCCAUCGCUCAACGGAUAAAAGCUACCCUGGGGAUAACAGGCUUAUCUCCCCCAAGAGUCCACAUCGACGGGGAGGUUUGGCACCUCGAUGUCGGCUCAUCGCAUCCUGGGGCUGUAGUCGGUCCCAAGGGUUGGGCUGUUCGCCCAUUAAAGCGGUACGCGAGCUGGGUUCAGAACGUCGUGAGACAGUUCGGUCCCUAUCCGUCGCGGGCGUAGGAAAUUUGAGAGGACCUGUCCUUAGUACGAGAGGACCGGGAUGGACAUACCUCUGGUGUACCAGUUGUGCCGCCAGGCGCAUCGCUGGGUAGCUACGUAUGGAUGUGAUAAACGCUGAAAGCAUCUAAGUGUGAAACACACCUCGAGAUGAGAUUUCCCAUUCCUUUAUGGAAGUAAGACCCCUGAAAGAUGAUCAGGUAGAUAGGUUAGAAGUGGCAGUGCGGUGACGCAUGAAGCGGACUAAUACUAAUCGGUCGAGGACUUAACCAA